rnacentral:rRNA from 1 species
CAGCAGCCGCGGUAAUACAGAGGAUGCAAGCGUUGUCCGGAAUUAUUGGGCGUAAAGGGCUCGCAGGCGGUUUCUUAAGUCUGAUGUGAAAGCCCCCGGCUCAACCGGGGAGGGUCAUCGGAAACUGGGAAACUUGAGUGCAGAAGAAGAGAGUGGAAUUCCACGUGUAGCGGUGAAAUGCGUAGAGAUGUGGAGGAACACCAGUGGCGAAGGCGACUCUCUGGUCUGUAACUGACGCUGAGGAGCGAAAGCGUGGGGAGCGAACAGGAUUAGAUACCCCUGUAGUCCCUGUCUCUUAUAC